rfam:Parcubacteria (Giovannonibacteria) bacterium GW2011_GWA2_45_21 TX06_C0001, whole genome shotgun sequence.
GCCCUCGUAAGCUAACGGAUAAACUGUCGGGAUUCUACCCCGAUUUUGGAAGUUCGAAUCUUCCCGGGGGCA